GGAGGUUGAGGUCGAAAGCGAAAGGGAACGUCUUCGCCUGCGGCGGAGGAGAGCGAUAGUCCGGGUGGAGAUCUACGACGGAGGAGGAGUCGGAGUCGCUCUGCACGGCGACGGCGGGCGGCGGCUGGAAGCAGGCGACGAACAUCGGCGGGCAAAGGGCCAGCUGGCGGUUAUUCGUGGCCGACUUUGCGUCCAGGAAAAAGAACUGCUGGGCCGACGGGGCGGCGGUUGGGUAUGACUGAAAGGGGAAGCGACCGCCGGUUCCGCCGCGGUAGAGGAGGCCCAGAUCGAGGGAGGGUGGGAGCGGAACAGCGAGUGGAGGCACCGCCGCCGCAGCCACCUCGCGGCCUGAGGAUUCCACGGUGCUGCUCUGGCUACUGGGGCUGCCAGUGGCAGCCGGGACGGCGCUGGGGCUGCUGCAGGCGUCUGAGAAGGCGAAGUUGGUCUUGGCCUUGGCGCCGCGGAAAUCGCGGGCGGCGUUGUCGUAGGCUCUGGCGGCCUCCUCUGCGGUGUCGAAGGUGCCGAGCCAGACUCGGGUCUUCUUGCUGGGGUCGCGUAUCUCGGCGGCGUACCGGCCCCACGGCCGCUUCCUCACCCCUCGGAAACGCAUCUCCUUCCCUUCACCGUCGGCGACGGUGCUGAGCUUCCCCCUUGGAGCCAUGGAAAAGGAACCAAACUCACGCCUUUCUUUCGACUGUUCGAUC
rnacentral:lncRNA from 1 species